rnacentral:rRNA from 1 species
ACAUGCAAGUCGAACGAGAAAGCGGGCUUCGGCCCGUGAGUAAAGUGGCAGACGGGUGAGUAACACGUGGGUAACCUGCCCGGAGGUGGGGGAUAACUCUUCGAAAGAGGAGCUAAUACCGCAUAACACCUCGAGAGCUUCGGCUUUUGAGAUCAAAGCUUGCCUCUACUCGUAAGCAAGCGCCACCGGAGGGGCCCGCGCCCCAUUAGCUUGUUGGUGAGGUAACGGCUCACCAAGGCUACGAUGGGUAGCCGGCCUGAGAGGGUGAUCGGCCACACUGGAACUGAGACACGGUCCAGACUCCUACGGGAGGCAGCAGUGAGGAAUUUUGCGCAAUGGGCGAAAGCCUGACGCAGCGACGCCCGCGUGGAGGACCGAAGGCCUUCGGGUCGUAAACUCCUGUCAAGCGGGACGAAUCCCUGGCGAAUGAAUAAGUCGCCAGGUUGACGGUACCGCUGGAGGAAGCCCCGGCUAACUCCGUGCCAGCAGCCGCGGUAAUACGGAGCGGGCCAGCGUUGUUCGGAAUUAUUGGGCGUAAAGGGCGCGUAGGCGGCUAGGCCAGUCACGGGUGAAAUCCCUCGGCUCAACCGAGGAACUGCCUCUGAUACUGCCUGGCUUGAGUCCCGGAGAGGGUAGCGGAAUUCCCAGUGUAGCGGUGAAAUGCGUAGAUACUGGGAGGAACACCAGU